rnacentral:rRNA from 1 species
AGUGGCGCACGGGUGAGUAACACGUGACUAACCUACCCUUGAGUGGGGGAUAACCUAGGGAAACCUGGGCUAAUACCGCAUAAUACCUACGGGUCAAAGGAGCAAUUCGCUUUAGGAGGGGGUCGCGGCAGAUUAGUUAGUUGGCAGGGUAAUGGCCUACCAAGACGACGAUCUGUAUCCGGCCUGAGAGGGCGCACGGACACACUGGAACUGAAACACGGUCCAGACUCCUACGGGAGGCAGCAGUGGGGAAUUUUGCGCAAUGGGGGAAACCCUGACGCAGCAACGCCGCGUGGAGGAUGAAGACCCUUGGGUCGUAAACUCCUUUCGAUCGGGACGAUAAUGACGGUACCGGAAGAGGAAGCCCCGGCUAACUUCGUGCCAGCAGCCGCGGUAAUACGAGGGGGGCAAGCGUUGUUCGGAAUUAUUGGGCGUAAAGGGUGCGUAGGCGGUUAGACAAGUCUUGUGUGAAAUCUUCGGGCUCAACUCGAAGUCUGCAUAAGA